UAAAUAAAAUAUAUUUAAAAAUGUAUAAAAUAACCAUUAUUGUUGUGAAUUACUCAUACUCAACAUGAAUGUAAUGGAUCCAAAUCCAAACUGAUCAAAUUACAUACACUGGACUUGAUUUGCUGCCAUAAGGGACAAAUGCAGAAGUUGCGCAUGCGCACUAGAGUGAAGAAGAAAAAAGAAGAAAAAAAAAUGAACUGAAGGCGGCAAGUCGAGUCGUUGGAGGCGCGAUACAAGUCAGCGAUUUGCGUGAACAGAUGUGGAAUAUUCGACAAGUCCUCAUCGAUGUGACACUAUUUCAACAUUUCUGGCUCUGGUCAGGCACAAUCACUCAAUUACGAUAUGUGAGUUUCGGGAAUGUGGCAAUAUAAAGAGUGUGGCACGGAAUUAUCCAGUAGGAGGAAGACGGAUGGUAACCCUGAAGAGGCACAUCCUCAUCUAAGAAAAGUAGAGAAAAAUGUCAAGUCCGGCCAUUUUGAUGAUUGUUUUUGGCGUGGAUGACGAUGCAAGAAAACUUACACUUAAAGGGAUAGUUCACUUUGAAAUUAAUUUUUUAUAUGUUUUAGCUUACCUCAAGGGCAUCCA